CGCAAUUCUCUUGAAAAAGUGCGUGAAUACUCUUAGUUUUCAUCCAAUCUUUCCCAAAAUAGGAAAAGCACGAGUUUUAGGUCAGCAUGUUCUAUCUUCGUCUGUGAGUUGAUUUUCAUCUGAUCGAUUCUUAGCUUCUUGUUGUUUCUGGAGAAUUGAUGGAUAGUACACUUUUGGGAUUUUUGUAGAUUGAAUUUACAAGUGAAGAUUAAAGUUUAGAAGAUGCACAAGUUCAUUAUUAUUUUGCGAAGAUCAUUAUGUAAAAGUUAACAUACUCUAGCUUGGGAUGUUAGUUGAUUAAGUA